UGGCAGUUCGUUCAGUGCCGAAUGGUGAUGACAAUCAAGUUUUCAUCAAUGAUAGUGGCGAAACAAGUGAGGUAACGAGUGCUUGUUGUCAUAAAUUUAAAAUACAACACAGAUCAGCACAAAAAAUUCUUGAACUGCUACGAGAAGAGAGAAACACGCCCAAUCGUACCCAACAGAAGAGAUACUGUCCACCGUCAAGAUUGAGCCCGAUGACAGCGAGCUGGAGCUACGGAUAGCCCUCAAGAAAGCACGGAGGCUGUUACAGAAUCAAAGAACAGUGUAGAAUAGGUGGCAGAGUAAGUACUGGGAAGAAACUCAGAAGGAAACACAGAAGGUGGUUCCAUUGUGCUGAAUGCUACCACAGCAUUCUGCUGUACAUUGGGUGACAUCCACACUUAUGGUCUGGCUGGCAACACAGAUGAGGACUCUCAGGAACUACUUGACUCUGAGAGGGAAAUGAUUGAAGAGAAGAAACGUCAGGAAGAAGAAGGCAAAUGUGGAGCUUGGAAUGAAGUUUUGAUUGAAAUGAUGAAAAGUCUGGGCAUUGCAAGCACUACAGUGGUCCGACCUCAGACUUCAAAGAAAAGGAGGGUUACAAACCAAAUGUUAAACUCGACUACAUAGAUGAUUGCAAAGGAGGCUUUCAGAUACCUGUCUCAUGAAUUUCAUGGAAAGGUACCUGGCAAAAAUAAAGUGGAGAAAUGAAUGAAGAGAACUGAACAGGAAGGAGGCAACCAUCUCAAAAGCAAAACUGCAAAUUCUUCAUGAAAUACACUGGCACCAACUCUGAACUUUCGCGUGGACUUAUGUUUUUAUUGUUUCUUACUGUCUGGAAUAUAAUCUCUAUUUUUAAAUAAGACACAGCUUGCAGCUGCCGACAGUUCCUAUGUGUAUUGGAAGGAAGGCCACAGAGUUCAUUUCACAUUCAAAUGAGUACAGUGGUUCUCCUGCUUCCUUAGGUAACCUGUUGGCACCUGUAAGCUGGAAAGUACAAUUUGUAGUGAUUAAUUAGUUGCUUGCUUAUAGGACUUGAGCCAGAUGAAUAGCCUCUAAGCUAAAUCAGACAUGAAGUAAUUAUAUUUGGCAUUUCCUGAUUGCAAUAGCAAUAUUGUAUCCUUCCAAGGGAAGAAGGAAACCCUUGUUUAGGUGUAGGCCAGUAUGAAAAGCUGUAAAAUUGUACAAGCAACAGAAUCAGAAGAUGUACGGUCUACUGCAAAUCAUUGUAAAGCACCACUGAUAUAGCACUGACACAUUUGUAAUGGGUUAUAAAUAUAAGUUGGUUCAUCCUGGUCCGUCGCACUAGUAAUUGUAUGUAAGGGUUUUAACCACUGUCCAGUGUGAUUGAUGAAAGUUUUUUAAUUUUUCAUCCUUUACAUGUUUCGGUCAAAACGACCAUCUUCAGAAGGAUAUUAUGAACACGUAUGGAAACUGCUGUUACAUGUCAUACAUAUAUAUGUCAUAUCUUUUAACUAAUAUUAAGAUGUACAUUGAUUUGUUAAAACAUCUAAAAAUGAUUACAAUUAGUCUGUUUACAAAAUAAUGUUCAGUAUGUGUCUAUAUGUCUAUAUGCUGUCGUGAAUGCAACAGUUUAUUCGGUUGUAGCUCUUUGUCUUUUCUUCCUCUACACUUCACGUUUUGGCCACAACCGGCCAUCAUCAGGUGUAUUU